UACGGAGGGUGCAAACGUUGCUCGGAAUUAUUGGGCGUAAAGCGCACGUAGGCGGACUGUUAAGUCGGAUGUGAAAGCCCUCGGCUUAACUGAGGAAGUGCAUUCGAAACUAGCAGUCUUGAGUAUGGAAGAGGGUCGCGGAAUUCCCGGUGUAGAGGUGAAAUUCGUAGAUAUCGGGAGGAACACCAGUGGCGAAGGCGGCGACCUGGGCCAAUACUGACGCUGAGGUGCGAAAGCGUGGGGAGCAAACAGG
rnacentral:rRNA from 1 species